rnacentral:rRNA from 1 species
UACGUAGGCAGCAAGCGUUGUUCGGAGUUACUGGGCGUAAAGGGUGCGUAGGCGGCGCGGUAAGUCGGGUGUGAAAUCUCGGGGCUUAACUCCGAAACUGCAUUCGAUACUGCCGUGCUUGAGGACUGGAGAGGAGACUGGAAUUUACGGUGUAGCGGUGAAAUGCGUAGAUAUCGGGAGGAACACCGGUGGCGAAGGCGGUUCUCUGGGCCUUACCUGACGCUGAGGAGCGAAAGCGUGGGGAGCGAACAGG